CGGGCAGUUAAUACUUGCGAAGGGAGGGA
rnacentral:piRNA from 1 species